GCCCAGACUCCUACGGGAGGCAGCAGUCGAGAAUCAUUCACAAUGGGGGAAACCCUGAUGGUGCGACGCCGCGUGGGGGAAUGAAGGUCUUCGGAUUGUAAACCCCUGUCAUGUGGGAGCAAAUUAAAAAGAUAGUACCACAAGAGGAAGAGACGGCUAACUCCGUGCCAGCAGCCGCGGUAAUACGGAGGAUGCGAGCGUUAUCCGGAUUUAUUGGGUUUAAAGGGUGCGCAGGCGGCGUGUCAAGUCAGCGGUAAAAUGUCGGGGCUCAACCCCGGCCGGCCGUUGAAACUGGCGUGCUCGAGUUGGAGAGAAGUAUGCGGAAUUCGUGGUGUAGCGGUGAAAUGCAUAGAUAUCACGAAGAACUCCGAUUGCGAAGGCAGCCUACUAAACUGCCACUGACAUUGAUGCUCGAAAGUGUGGGUAUCAAACAGGAUUAGAUACCCCCGUAG
rnacentral:rRNA from 1 species